AUGAACGCUAGCUACAGGCUUAACACAUGCAAGUCGAGGGGCAGCAUGAACUUAGCUUGCUAAGUUUGAUGGCGACCGGCGCACGGGUGAGUAACACGUAUCCAACCUGCCGAUGACUCGGGGAUAGCCUUUCGAAAGAAAGAUUAAUACCCGAUGGCAUAGUUCUUCCGCAUGGUGGAACUAUUAAAGGAUUUCGGUCAUCGAUGGGGAUGCGUUCCAUUAGGUUGUUGGCGGGGUAACGGCCCACCAAGCCUUCGAUGGAUAGGGGUUCUGAGAGGAAGGUCCCCCACAUUGGAACUGAGACACGGUCCAAACUCCUACGGGAGGCAGCAGUGAGGAAUAUUGGUCAAUGGACGAGAGUCUGAACCAGCCAAGUAGCGUGAAGGAUGACUGCCCUAUGGGUUGUAAACUUCUUUUAUACGGGAAUAAAGUGAGGCACGUGUGCCUUUUUGUAUGUACCGUAUGAAUAAGGAUCGGCUAACUCCGUGCCAGCAGCCGCGGUAAUACGGAGGAUCCGAGCGUUAUCCGGAUUUAUUGGGUUUAAAGGGAGCGUAGGCGGACGCUUAAGUCAGUUGUGAAAGUUUGCGGCUCAACCGUAAAAUUGCAGUUGAUACUGGGUGUCUUGAGUACAGUAGAGGCAGGCGGAAUUCGUGGUGUAGCGGUGAAAUGCUUAGAUAUCACGAAGAACUCCGAUUGCGAAGGCAGCCUGCUGGACUGUAACUGACGCUGAUGCUCGAAAGUGUGGGUAUCAAACAGGAUUAGAUACCCUGGUAGUCCACACAGUAAACGAUGAAUACUCGCUGUUUGCGAUAUACAGUAAGCGGCCAAGCGAAAGCGUUAAGUAUUCCACCUGGGGAGUACGCCGGCAACGGUGAAACUCAAAGGAAUUGACGGGGGCCCGCACAAGCGGUGGAGCAUGUGGUUUAAUUCGACGCAACGCGAAGAACCUUACCAAGUCUUGACAUCCCUUGACGAACAUAGAAAUAUGUUUUCUCUUCGGAGCAAGGAGACAGGUGGUGCAUGGUUGUCGUCAGCUCGUGUCGUGAGAUGUUGGGUUAAGUCCCGCAACGAGCGCAACCCCUAUCCUCAGUAGCCAGCAGUUCGGCUGGGCACUCUGUGGAGACUGCCAGGGAUAACCUGGAGGAAGGCGGGGAUGACGUCAAAUCAUCAUGCCCCUUAUGAUUUGGGCUACACACGUGCUACAAUGGCGUAAACAAAGGGAAGCAGAGCCGCGAGGCCGAGCAAAUCUCAAAAAUAACGUCUCAGUUCGGACUGUAGUCUGCAACCCGACUACACGAAGCUGGAAUCGCUAGUAAUCGCAGAUCAGAAUGCUGCGGUGAAUACGUUCCCGGGUCUUGUACACACCGCCCGUCACACCAUGGGAGUUGGUAACGCCCGAAGUCAGUGACCCAACCUUUCAGGAGGGAGCUGCCGAAGGCGGGACUGAUAACUGGGGUG
rnacentral:rRNA from 1 species